rfam:Acidovorax sp. NO-1 contig106, whole genome shotgun sequence.
CGUUCCCUUGCUGGAGAGAGAUGGCCCGCCGCACCGCGUUAUGAGGCCAUCCACCGAAGGAGCAAACCGCACGGCCAGCCAGGGCAGUGGGGCGAAUCUCUCAGGUAAAGCGGACAGCAGGGCAAAU